GACGAACGCUGGCGGCGUGCUUAACACAUGCAAGUCGAACGGAAAGGCCCUGCUUUUGUGGGGUGCUCGAGUGGCGAACGGGUGAGUAACACGUGAGUAACCUGCCUUUGACUUUGGGAUAACUUCAGGAAACUGGGGCUAAUACCGGAUAGGAGCUCCUGCUGCAUGGUGGGGGUUGGAAAGUUUCGGCGGUUGGGGAUGGACUCGCGGCUUAUCAGCUUGUUGGUGGGGUAGUGGCUUACCAAGGCUUUGACGGGUAGCCGGCCUGAGAGGGUGACCGGCCACAUUGGGACUGAGAUACGGCCCAGACUCCUACGGGAGGCAGCAGUGGGGAAUAUUGCACAAUGGGCGGAAGCCUGAUGCAGCAACGCCGCGUGCGGGAUGACGGCCUUCGGGUUGUAAACCGCUUUCGCCUGUUACGAAGCGUGAGUGACGGUAAUGGGUAAAGAAGCACCGGCUAACUACGUG
rnacentral:rRNA from 1 species